rnacentral:rRNA from 1 species
UACGUAGGGUGCAAGCGUUAAUCGGAAUUACUGGGCGUAAAGCGUGCGCAGGCGGUUUUGUAAGUCUGAUGUGAAAUCCCCGGGCUCAACCUGGGAAUUGCAUUGGAGACUGCAAGGCUAGAAUCUGGCAGAGGGGGGUAGAAUUCCACGUGUAGCAGUGAAAUGCGUAGAGAUGUGGAGGAACACCAAUGGCGAAGGCAGCCUUCUGGGCCAACACUGACGCUCAUGCAACGAAAGCGUGGGGAGCAAACAGG